rnacentral:rRNA from 1 species
GACGAACGCUGGCGGCGUGCUUAAUACAUGCAAGUCGAACGGAAAGGCCCUGCUUGCAGGGUACUCGAGUGGCGAACGGGUGAGUAACACGUGGGUGAUCUGCCCUGCACUUCGGGAUAAGCCUGGGAAACUGGGUCUAAUACCGGAUAGGAGCCAUUUUUAGUGUGAUGGUUGGAAAGUUUUUUCGGUGUAGGAUGAGCUCGCGGCCUAUCAGCUUGUUGGUGGGGUAAUGGCCUACCAAGGCGGCGACGGGUAGCCGGCCUGAGAGGGUGGACGGCCACAUUGGGACUGAGAUACGGCCCAGACUCCUACGGGAGGCAGCAGUGGGGAAUAUUGCACAAUGGGCGCAAGCCUGAUGCAGCGACGCCGCGUGGGGGAUGACGGCCUUCGGGUUGUAAACUCCUUUCGCUAGGGACGAAGCUUUUUGUGACGGUACCUAGAGAAGAAGCACCGGCUAACUACGUG